GACAAAAUUUAAACCCAAAUGUGGAUCAACUAGCUCCAUCAAGUUUCCUUGCUCUUUUAACACAAGGGCAUAAUCAAAAAGAGGUAGAAGUAACAUUAUAUUGUUUCAGUUAUAAACUCAAGAACAAUGGAAAACAAAAAUCAGUAAGAGCCAAAGUUACCCAAUCUAGGAGACAAAAUUGAGCCUCCUUUGUCCUGCAAAUAACGUUGCUUCUCCCGCUGACAAUUUCCAAAGCAACAAUUCCAAAACUAUAGACAUCUGCUUUAUCUGUUAAAUAACCCCGCAUUGCAUAUUCUGG
rnacentral:lncRNA from 1 species